UUGGGUAGUUUUAUUAUUAAUUCACCUAGAAUCAAUCGAUUAAUCGUUAGUAGAAUAUUAUUUUAAUCAAUAACUGUAGGUUUAACAACUGUUCUUGAACAAAAAUGAAUUUCGAAAAUACCCCUAGACACUGCAGAGCUGUACAAGAAACUGGUUACCCAAUUGAUUAUCGCUGCAAACUUUCGCCGUAUGUAUGAACAGCUGUCAGAUUUAAGCGCACGGUUAAGCCGCCCGCCGGUUAAUCCGUCCCCGGAUAAUCGACGUUCUACUGUAUUUGUGUUUUCUAUCUUGAUAUUUAUGGUUUAUGAUCUUUUUCCGAACAUCAUAAAUGUUGUGUUCUCGUACUUUUGUACUUUAAAUACUUUAUUACAUACAAAAUAAAUAAUACGACACAAUUAACAAACAAUUAACACUUUAAAAUAACAAGUGCGGUGGCCGCGCACCAGCCGCACCGAGCGCCCCUGCCGAGAGCUCCUACUCGAUCGGCUCGCAAACACACUCUGCUUGUGCGCUCGGCACACACUAAGCCUUGCGCUGCUUAGUGUGUGCGACAGUGUGCGUGUACACUGUCGUCCUCCUGGACGUUGACCGGUGGCAGCGCAACUGCCACGGCAAGUCCAGGGGUCGGCACGGCUGCCCACAACAAUAAAUUUGGCUUUUUCAGUGUUUAUUGGGAGUUUCAGUUUGUUUGCUUCAUGUAUUAAUUUGUUUAAUGUUAUUUGAAGUUUGUUCUGCAAUUCUUGUGUAGUUUUGCUUGUUGUAUUAUUACAAAGUCAUCCGCAUAUUGUAUUAUGUUUGGUUUUCCAUUACAGGCGUUCCCCCAGUUACGCCUCCCUCGAGUUACGACGAUUCGCAGAUACGACGAUUUUGAUUUUGACAUUUGAAUAAUGUCAUUGAGACGAAAUUGAUAUAUUUUUUUGAAUUUCUAUGCAGAUAUCCGUUACAAACAUAUUUACUCAGAUUCCACAAUUCUCCGAUCUUGAAUAUCUAUGUCGUGUAAACGGCUUUUGGAGGAAUAUUAAUACAUUAUCGUACAUUAUUUUUAAUAAAAUAUACGAUUUCAUGGAUUCCGACUCUUCACUUUCGGUUAUAAACUUUAUAUUCAAAGAUAUUCGACAUACGCCUAUUUCAACUUACGCCUUACGGUCCCAAAUACAGUCGUACCUCGGGGGACACCUGUAUUGGUCUUUUGAUGUAUUUGUUCGGUGUAAAUAUUGAAUAGGGUAGGUGAUAGUACGUCUCCUUGUGGUAGUCCAUCAGAGACAAGUUUUUUUAUUGUCUUGUUUUCGGAUGUUAUUUCUACAGUGCGGUUAUUUAAAAAGGAUGCAAUCCAUCUUAUGAUAUCUAAUGAUAUGUUUUUUUCUCUUAGUGUUUUAAUCAAUGUUUCUGUUUGUACAUUAUUGUAUGUGUUAGUUAGAUCCACAAAUAUAACACCAGUUAUAGUUUUAUUUCUCUUGUUGUUGUAUAUCUCGUUAAUUAAAUAGUAUAUACACUGAUUGAUUGAGUUGUUUGGCCUGAAUCCUAGAGAUAAUGCUCGUAUUAUUUCUUUUAUUGCGAAAAGUUUUUAAAGUUUUUUUUUUUAAUACGGCCAUGUUUAGUAUUUUUGUUCUUGUAGGCAGUAGUGCAAUAGGUCUAUAGAUUUGGAUGUCAUUUGGGUCGCUACCUGGUUUUGGAAUUGCUAUAAUUUUGAGUUUUUUGUACUGUUUCUUUUUGUUUUCCUUUUUUCACAUUUUGUUGGCUUCUUGUAUCAAAACAUUUUUGUCGUUUCUCUAUUUAGGGUUUUUAGGAUUUCGUAAGAUAUGUUAUCUUUUCCAGGUGCAGUGUUUUUUUUUAUGAUUUAGUAUAUGUUUCCCAUUUUCUUCGUUUAAUAUAUCUUCUGGUGUUGGGCUGCUUUUAUGCAUGUUUUUGUCGCUUUUUGAUUUUGUUGAAAUUGUUUUUUAGAAAUUCUUUAGCAGCUUCUGUUGUGGGCAGCCGUGCGUGCCGUCCCCUGGACUUGCCGUGGCAUUUGCGCUGCCACCGGUCAACGUCCAGGGGGACGACAGCCCAACCAGCAAAACCGAAGCUAUUGGAAAACUUUCCUGUGUGCCAAAGCGAGAGAGCAUGUCUUCUUUCUCUAGAUUUUGGACGGCACAACGCCGAUCGUGUGGCCUAUGAACGAAAAACGGGAGAAGGGGAAACCGAUAUCCUUCGAGUGACACACACGCAUGCAUCUGCAUGCGUAUUCCGCUGAACCGAGACUACACAUCUCUCUCGAUCUCCCAUGAUUUUUCUGCUAUCGCGCUCAUCCGGGUAUUAGGGCUUGGUACUUGUUUCGACGCAGCGUAUCGCAACGCAUUGCGUGACGCACGCUGUUAUCUGUUCGCUGCGUUCUGCAUGGAUAUGUCAACACAUUUUACAAAGAAAAACAUCAACAAACAGCAAUAAUACCUCUUAUUUAUAGGUUCUGAUGUGGUUAUAAUGUUAAAUUACAACUGUAAAAUCAUUUCCAGUUCUGCUCAAAACAGUGCAAAGCAUGUUUUCGCUUUAUUAUUGCACAUUGCAUACUGACCCGCACACACCUGUUUUGCAGCAAUUACGAAAUUACUUUCUCUACAUUUAUUUUGUUUUGUUAAUAAAAUUAUUUAGUAGUCCAAUUACACGUCCAAUUGCGCUCGAAACAAUUUAACGUGAAAAAAUGUCGAUUUUCACCCGAUAUGAUUGAACCAUAUUGACAGACGCAUCACGACGUGCGUCGAAAUAGAAAUUUUUCUACUUUGACGCUGCGUCGUGCGUCGUUAACGCAUGCGUCUGUCAAAUCCCAUACAUUUUGGCAAAAUCGCAACGCAUUGCGUCGGAACAAGUACCGCUCUCUUAGGCAUCCUCAGUCUGUCCAGAACUUUCACUGUGGAAGGAUGUGUUGGAGUGAUGUGUGAUUUCUUGUGCCCCGUACUUUGCUCGUUUACGUUUUGUGCCGUGUUCCUUCUUCUUUAAUAAUGGAAUGAUUUAUCCUUGUAAAUUUCUAAGUUACAGUGCCCGCGCAUGUUAAUCGACGGUUGCCAACAUCCCGCAAAACGAUCGACAGAAGGAAAACGGUGUCCGGUUUUAAAAUAUAAAGAUUUCAUUACAGCUCUUUCGUAGAAGAGCGCACUUCAAGGACGACUAGGAUACGGCUAAACAUGCGCAGCACCAGUCCGUGACGUCAUUUCCAGACAGGCGCCGGCUGAACACGCGCAGCACCAGUCGAGGAUAUCCUAGCGCAGAGGGUAGAAGGAAGAACGAGAGGAAGGGUAAUAGAAAGCAACCGCAGCAUUUGGAAGGGGUGAAGCAUCCUGCCGUAUACAGAGUGUGAGUGUGCCAAAACGCAUGUGGAAAGAGGAAUUUCAAUAAAUAGCAUACGAAAGUGUACAUAAAGCAAAAAGAAAAAGCGUCACUACUACAACCAGCAAUCCGAAAAUAUAAGGGGAGGGAUUAAUACAAAUGUAUGCGUAAGCAGGACCAGCAAUCCAAGCAUUUGAAUGUGUGCGUCGGUUUGUGCCGUGCUGAAUGUUUUUACUUUAGCUGCUGCUAGUGUAAAAACUUAAGGAAAGCUUAAAGUAAAAAUUUUUUACACGGGGCGCCUUCGGAAAUUGUUGGCUGGGAGUGUGUACAUGCACACCGUCGCACACACUAAGCGCGCAAGGCUUAGUGUGUGCCGAGCGCCGAGCAGAGUGUGCACGAAGGCCGAUUGAGCAAGAGCUCGCGGCUGGGGCGCUCGGUGCGGCUGGCGCGCGGCCUACGUUGUAAAGUGUUGUACGUUAUAUCAUUAUGUAUUAUUUAAAGUGUUUAAAUAAAGUGCAAAUAUAAGUAAACAUAAUAGCUUCUAUGUUUGUUUCGAUGAUGUUUUAAGAUUUUUAGUUAUUUCCAUUUCCUUCUAUUUGUCUUAUAAAUUGCCAAAGUUUGGUGGUUUUUGUGUUUUUUUUUCUAUUUUGUCCAAUUUGUAUAUUUUUAUUUUU